AUGUCAGAACAAUCUAAAGACAAGUCAGGGGAUGCAAGUAUAGAAAAAAUGUAUGAAAUUUUCAGUAAAUUGCUUGAGCAGCAGCAGCUUAAAGCAGUCCCAGAGACAGUUAAGUAUGCCCUGGAACCAAAUCCAGUGAGGUUGUCAGGUCCUGGCAACUAUGUUAGUUGGGCACGCCAUGCUCAAUUGAUACUGAGUUCCCAUGACUAUGAGUACCUGCUUGUUGAUGAUGAAGAAAAGCAGAAAAGUGGUGAUACUCACACAAGACAGAUCAAUGAUAGAGUUCUAGUAUGGCUGUUGGGAAGCAUGGAUCCAAUUGUGCGACAACAGGUCGAAAUAAUGUCAUCCGUGUCUGAAGUGUGGACCGCCUUGGAGAACCAAUUCGCUGGGAAAUCAAACAAAAUGCAGGCAACCCGCGUUAUGGAGGAAUUAACUCAUCUAAAUCAGGGCACAAAGUCUGUAACAGAGUAUGCUGGUGAAUUGAAACGGUUGUACAGGGACCUGCACUACUAUCAUCCUUUUCAAGCAGUUGACAAGAGAGAUCUAGCCAUUCAUCACAAAUGGUUUGAGACGAUUGUGGCCAAGCUGUUUCUAGAUGGACUAAACCAGGAGCUUAACCUUCGGCGACAACUUAUAUUCUCUCAACCAGAAUGGCCAAGUCUCGAUGAUAUUAUUUCCAGUGUGCUUGAGGAAGAAACUCGGUUGGCUCAACCUAAGGAGGAUGAUCUGAAAUGUGCAGAUGAUCGUGCGGCUUUAUCUAUGCAAUACCGCCGUACUCCCAGGCCCUUUGGCAAGAUAGACAAAAACAAGUUGCUUUGUGAUCAUUGUAAAAGAAAAGGACACACAAAGGAUGGAUGUUUUGAGCUGCAUGGAUAUCCAUCUUGGUGGGAAAAAGGAAAACCUCGGACAAGGGGAGUUCAAUGUGUGAAUAGAAGGCAAGCUAACCACACCACGUCUCUACGGGGGCCACCAGUGGUAGAUGUACGAGCUCUUGAGGAGUUCAACUCCAAGCUUAAACUCUCAGAAAGCUCAUCUUCCUCGCAAGGCACCUCUAAGGUUGAUUCCAAUCUAAUUGCCACUUCUCACCAAGGAGCUAGGGACUAG
rnacentral:rRNA from 1 species